GACGUAGGGCGCGAGCGUUGUCCGGAUUUAUUGGACGUAAAGAGCUCGUAGGCGGCUUGUCGCGUCGGCUGUGAAAACCCGCGGCUCAACUGUGGGCGGGCAGCUGAUACGGGCAGGCUGGAGUUCGGUAGGGGAGACUGGAAUUCCUGGUGUAGCGGUGAAAUGCGCAGAUAUCAGGAGGAACACCGGUGGCGAAGGCGGGUCUCUGGGCCGAUACUGACGCUGAGGAGCGAAAGCGUGGGGAGCGAACAGG
rnacentral:rRNA from 1 species